UUGCCCUGUAGAAGAGGGGACACGACAACGGUUCUCAUGAAAGCACGUGUUUGAACAGUGCCAGCCAUUGUCAAUAGUGACAACUUGUAGCACUUGCCUACAUCUAUGGCACAGGCAUGAAGGACUUUACAGACAGAUAGGAGCCCGACAUUCCAUCCCAUGCAACAGAGGCUGAUCCUCUCUCAGGAGGCCAUCUCCAUCUCAGCAGCAAGAUGAGAUUUCAAGGGGGGCUGAAUCCAUUUGGAGAUGCCAAGAUACUUGAACACCCUUGUUUUGCCAUUCAUCAAUUUUGAUCAUCUAGACAAAGGCCAGAGUGAAGUGGAAGAUUUGGCAUGGUCUGUUACUGACAACCAACUAGGGUGACCCAGGAUGAGGCCAGUGCCACCAGCCUCUACUUCACUUUAAUACUAUGCAGACCUGGCUUCUCCACAAGUAACACACAAGGCAACAGAAG